GAUGAACGCUGGCGGCGUGCCUAAUACAUGCAAGUCGAGCGGACAGACGAGGAGCUUGCUCCUCUGACGUUAGCGGCGGACGGGUGAGUAACACGUGGAUAACCUACCUAUAAGACUGGGAUAACUACGGGAAACCGGAGCUAAUACCGGAUAAUAUCUUGAACCGCAUGGUUCAAUAGUGAAAGACGGUUUUGCUGUCACUUAUAGAUGGAUCCGCGCCGCAUUAGCUAGUUGGUAAGGUAACGGCUUACCAAGGCGACGAUGCGUAGCCGACCUGAGAGGGUGAUCGGCCACACUGGAACUGAGACACGGUCAAGACUCCUACGGGAGGCAGCAGUAGGGAAUCUUCCGCAAUGGGCGAAAGCCUGACGGAGCAACGCCGCGUGAGUGAUGAAGGUCUUCGGAUCGUAAAACUCUGUUAUUAGGGAAGAACAAAUGUGUAAGUAACUAUGCACGUCUUGACGGUACCUAAUCAGAAAGCCACGGCUAACUACGUG
rnacentral:rRNA from 1 species